UAAAGAGGGCAGUGUGAUGCUGUGAGGAUGAUCCUCCACGUGUGAAAAUAACUGAGCAACGAGCAGAGCAGCUGUCUCAUCAUUGUCCCUAUCACUGGGAUUUCUUCAGGUGACCAAUAGAUAAGUCCUAUCCUACUUACAAGAGCUGCAAGCAAAGAAUGGAAAUUUCCAAUUGCAGCAUCAAGGGCUGCUGUUCUGCUGACUGUCUUGCUCAGUCGGGGUCAUCUGUUUCUCUAAGACAUCAAGGAAUGCCAAGGAAGCUCAGAGUCAAAUUUGAAGACCAGUCACAGAAUCUAUGUUCAUUGAUUUAUUCAUGUUUAUUGUACCCUUUAUGGCUAACAUAUUUGCAAUCUUCUCUCUUCUUGGUAGUGAAUUUAAAAAAUUUAAUAACCUAUUGUUUGCCAUGUUGGUUCUAAAUCCAAAUCAAUCCCCUGUUUUAAAUAUUUAGGUGGUUUUUAUUUAUCAGAUUAGAAGAGAUGACUCUAGAGCAGGACUGGCAAACAUUUUCUGUAAAGAGCCAACUAGUAAAUAUUUUAGGCUUUGCAGGCCAUGCAGUCUCUGUCACAACGACAACUCUGCCGUGCAGUGCUAAAGCAGCUCUAGACUACAUGUAAACAAACGGGCAUGGCUGUGUUCCAAAAAAGCUUAAUUAUAAAAACAGGCAGUGGAUAGGAUUUGACCCUUAGGCCACAGUUUGUUAACCCCUGAUCUAGAGCAAUCUAUGUUACUAUGAAAAAACAUCUUCACCUACACCAUGAUCCCAUCAACUUUAUUGUAAUUCAUCUCAACUACUUUGAAAAGAACAGGUAAAUUAAGUGACUUUACUUCCUCUAUCAGAAGACAAGAAGGGGCUGACAAUAAAGCAAUGCUGUAUAGACUAACAGCAUUUGUACCAGGGGAAGGACUAUACUGAACAACUUAAAAUUCCCUAGCCACUUAGUCCAUAGCUGGUUAUUUAGUUAAUGCUAAAGGCCAGGGUGACACAAGUGAUGUCUCAUUUGUUUUGUUUCAUUUCCCAGCCUCUAAUCUCAAAUACUCGAUUAACAAAUGCACACUGUAUGGGGCUCCAGUCGUACUUGCCUACUCGGAGCUCCCUGAAUGUAUUGUGCUAUUUCACGCCUCUCUAGCUCUGCACACAAUGUUCCUUCUGCCGGGAACACACUUAGCCCUCUUCUCUUACUGGCUAACGCCCACUCACUGAUCAAAACUCAGCUCAAUGAUACUGCCUCUUGGAAGACUUCCCUGAGUGCACCUCCACCUCCUCACCCUCAGCCUCCAGUCCGCACACUCAGUCUCAGCAUUUAUUCUACUAAAUUAAUAAUUAAAAUAGUUUAUAAUGCAUAUAUGUUACCAGGCACUUUCUAUGUGCCAGACACUGUUAAAUAAAGUCACUUAACUGAAAUUAGUGGUAUACUAGCCUGUUUCCCCAAUCCAAUCACACAUUCAAAAACAUAUUGAGUACCUCACAGCUCUUGUGCUAGGCACAAAAAGAUAAAUAAAACACAAGCCUAUACUAUAGAGUAGAAGCCCACUAAAAGCACGCUGUGUCUUAUUUGUUUUUACUUCUC